UAAUACGGAGGAUGCGAGCGUUAUCCGGAUUUAUUGGGUUUAAAGGGUGCGUAGGCGGCUUUGUAAGUCAGCGGUGAAAUUUUGCAGCUUAACUGUAACAGUGCCGUUGAUACUGUGAGGCUAGGAUUUGGUUGCUGUGGGUGGAAUGUGUGGUGUAGCGGUGAAAUGCUUAGAGAUCACACAGAAUAUCGAUUGCGAAGGCAGCUCACAAAGCCAAGAUUGACGCUGAGGCACGAAAGUGUGGGGAUCAAACAGGAUUAGAUACCCUGGUAGUCCACACUGUAAACGAUGAUAACUCGCUGUCGGCGAUACACAGUCGGUGGCCAAGCGAAAGCGAUAAGUUAUCCACCUGGGGAGUACGACCGCAAGGUUGAAACUCAAAGGAAUUGACGGGGGCCCGCACAAGCGGAGGAACAUGUGGUUUAAUUCGAUGAUACGCGAGGAACCUUACCCGGGCUCGAACGGUGCAUGAAUAUACGAGAGAUUGUAUAGACCUUCGGGACAUGUAUCGAGGUGCUGCAUGGUUGUCGUCAGCUCGUGCCGUGAGGUGUCGGCUUAAGUGCCAUAACGAGCGCAACCCUUGUCGUUAGUUACCAUCAGGUAGAGCUGGGGACUCUAACGAGACUGCCGGUGAUAAAUCGGAGGAAGGUGGGGACGACGUCAAAUCAUCAUGCCCCUUAUGUCCUGGGCUACACACGUACCACAAUGGCGAUUACAAUGGGAAGCAAUAUCGCGAGGUGGAGCAAAUCCCCAAAAAUCGCCCCAGUUCAGAUUGCAGGCUGCAACUCGCCUGCAUGAAGUCGGAAUUGCUAGUAAUGGCAGGUCAGCAUACUGCCGUGAAUACGUUCCCGGGUCUUGUACACACCGCCCGUCACACCAUGGGAGUUGGAAGCGCCCGAAGCCGGUGACUCAACUGAGUAAUCAGAGAGAGCCGUCGAAGGUGAAGCCAAUGACUGGGGUG
rnacentral:rRNA from 1 species